rnacentral:rRNA from 1 species
UACGUAGGGGGCAAGCGUUGUCCGGAUUUAUUGGGCGUAAAGAGCGUGUAGGCGGUCUGGUAGGUCCGUUGUGAAAACUCGAGGCUCAACCUCGAGACGCCGAUGGAAACCAUCAGACUAGAGUCCGGAAGAGGAGAGUGGAAUUCCUGGUGUAGCGGUGAAAUGCGCAGAUAUCAGGAGGAACACCGGUGGCGAAGGCGGUUCUCUGGGCCUGUACUGACGCUGAGGAGCGAAAGCGUGGGGAGCGAACAGG